CCGAAGGUUAGUUCAGUACUUCCGUCGCGACGGAAUCAAUGUUCCCAAACCGACUGGAAAAAUUAUUGGGUUCACAUGACUUCCGGAACGGAACGGGACGCUGGGUUCACUUUCUUUCCGGAACUGACGGGGUUCACUUUCUUUCCGGAACGGAACGGGAUGCGGGACACAUCAGCUCCCGAUCGAAUCUUUCUCACAAAUUAUAUAAUCGAACGCAACGAAUGUGGAACGACACGCCGCUGCAAGUGCUAGAACAAGUGCUAUCGCCAAGUAUUUAAUCGAACUCGACAGAGGUGGAACGACCCGGCGCUGUAUAGGACGGCAUCGCAGAUCAUAACUGACCGGGGAUUAAGAAACGAAGUGAAUUAUGGCUUUUUACAGUCGACGAAACUUUAGAUCCCAUGAUGGACAUUUUAAGAUUGGACGAAUUGCUUGUUCUUUGUGCAAUCAUUAUGUAAUGGGUAGCUCACUUUACGUGAUCGUUUUGGGCCUCAUUGGGAUCGUUAGUCUAUCGUAGUCACAGCUCUUGAUAUAAUACGCACAAUGAAUUACAAAAUUCCUAGAAGAUCGUCACGCCAUAAUAGAAAUAAUCAAGAAGUGCCCUUUACCGUCGAGCGGGACUUAAAGUUAAUGACGUCAAUCCUGGGAAUCGAACAUUAUACUUUAAUUAUGUUAGGCGCUAUUACAGAAUAUCCCAUGUUGCAUACGCCAUGGUUGCUCAUGCAACUCUGCGUCAUUAUUGUCGAGGUCAUCGUCUUCUUCGUAAGAUUUUUUCUAGACGGUUUGCACAUCAAACGCAAUGAAAUAUUACAAGCGAUAUUUACCUUACACAAUUGGUUGCAAGUUUUUUGUCUUUUUUACCAGCAGGCACAACAAACUUGUUGGUGAAACUUCUAUUUUUUUAAUAUUAAAUUAUAUAUUUAUAUUGUUUAAAAAUUACAUGUUAUGAAUGGAGAGUAUAAUAU
rnacentral:misc_RNA from 1 species